UUCUCAAACCCAUACUUCCCUAGUUCUAAAACCUUCACUUCCCUAGUUCUCACUUCCGUCGUCGCACAACUGCACGAAGCCACGAUCGCACGACUGCCACGGCUGCCACGGCUGCCACAGUCACCUACAAAAUUGCAGGCAGCGACGAGACAAGAGACAAUGUCUUGGAAGGCGAAGCGGUUUUCAACGAGGAGGCGGUUGGUGGCAUUGGACUGGAAGUGGCGUCGGAUUUGAGUCUUUGGUGUUUGGGUUCAGCCACGGAGUGGCAGAAUCGUAGAGAGAAUAACAAUAUAGAGAACGGGAGCGAGGAUUAUGCUCUGUUUCAUUUUUACUAUUUUUUUAAAUAUAUUUCCUAACAUUCCUUGUAGAAUUGUUAUUCAAUCUAAGAUGCGAAAACAGGGUAAAUAAUCCUAUGUAAUAUUCUUAACCAAUGAUGUUUUCAGAACUCUUAAAUAAGACUUGAUAUUUUGUUUAUUGACAUA